GCGGGCGUAGUUCAGUGGCAGAACUUCAGCUUCCCAAGCUGAAAGCGCGGGUUCGAUUCCCGUCGCCCGCUCGA
rnacentral:tRNA from 1 species